UACUUCAGUUCGACCGCUAAUUCACUAUCGGUGACGAUAAAUUGAUUUGUUGCAGAUCUUAACGGAGAAUUUGAAACCAUACAAAAUGGAUCUGCAGACAAUUUCAUCGCAAAUGAAAGUAGUGAUUCAAAAACAUCAGCUUGUUGUUACAGAAAUGCGUAACGAUCCUCAGAAUCCUGUCCUUCAAAAAAGAUUAAAUGACUUACAGUUGGAAAUACAUAGUUUAAAUGAGAGGCAGGUGAGUAAACAA